GACGAACGCUGGCGGCGUGCUUAACACAUGCAAGUCGAACGAAGUGGCGAACGGGUGAGUAACGCGUAAUCAACCUGCCCUUCAGAGGGGGACAACAGUGGGAAACGACUGCUAAUACCGCAUACUGAAGGAGGGGAUUGCGGCGGAUUCGCUAGUUGGAGGGGUAACGUCCCACCAAGGCGAUGAUCAGUAGCCGGGCUGAGAGGGUGAACGGCCACAUUGGGACUGGGGCACGGCCCAGACUCCUACGGGAGGCAGCAGGGGGGAAGCUUCCGCAAUGGACGAAAGUCUGACGAAGCCACGCCGCGGGGGUGAUGACGGCCUUCGGGGUGUAAAGCUCUGUUAAUCGGGACGCGGUACCGGAAUAGAAAGCCACGGCUAACUACGUGCCAGCAGCCGCGGUAAUUC
rnacentral:rRNA from 1 species